UACGUAGGGUGCGAGCGUUGUCCGGAAUUAUUGGGCGUAAAGAGCUUGUAGGCGGUUUGUCGCGUCUGCCGUGAAAAUCCGGGGCUCAACCCCGGACUUGCGGUGGGUACGGGCAGACUAGAGUGUGGUAGGGGAGACUGGAAUUCCUGGUGUAGCGGUGAAAUGCGCAGAUAUCAGGAGGAACACCUGAGGUGAAGACGGGGUUGCUGGGCCGACACUGACGCUGAGUGCGCGAAAGCCAGGGGAGCAAACGGGG
rnacentral:rRNA from 1 species